rnacentral:rRNA from 1 species
CCUACGGGAGGCAGCAGUGAGGAAUAUUGGUCAAUGGCCGGAAGGCUGAACCAGCCAUGCCGCGUGAAGGUCAGUGCCCUAUGGGCGUUAAACUUCUUUUGUGCGGGAGCAAUAAUGGUCACGUUGGGCCAGACGAGAGUACCGUACGAAUAAGGAACGGCUAACUCCGUGCCAGCAGCCGCGGGAAUACGGAGGAUCCGAGGGUUAUCCGGAUUUAUUUGGUUUAAAGGGGGCGUAGAUGGGUUGUUAAGUCAGCUGUGAAAGUUUGCGGCUCAACCGUAAAAUUGCAAUUGAUACUGGCAUGCUUGAGUACAGUUGAGGUAGGCGGAAUUCGUGGUGUAGCGGUGAAAUGCUUAGAUAUCACGAAGAACUCCGAUUGCGAAGGCAGCUUACUAAACUGCCACUGACAUUGAUGCUCGAAAGUGUGGGUAUCAAACAGGAUUAGAUACCCUUGUAGUC